CAUGUUGGUGUUCUGUAGGACCUAUGUGAAGUCAACAGCUACGGACAACUCAGGAUUGUUUAAAUGACUUAAUGACCAAAAUGGAUGCGUAAGGAGGAAGUCUGAGUCAACGAAGAACAGAAGUGUCUUCAUUUCAUUCACACAUCCAGUCCCAGAACUGAUACCUGGCUGUCCAGUUUCUACUUUCAGUCAUCCGAUUCCUUCCUAAGUGGAGCAUCAGCUGUGGAGUGUUAGCGCAUGCAGCAGCUGUUAUAUUCGCACUCAGCCCUACAAAUUGCACACUGCUGUGUCACUAAGAGCUGAGUGCCCUCUCACUUGCUUGUGUAGGCAACAAUCUUUUCAGAUAAUAUCUCUAAAAUCGGGAAAGCUGGGGCCUUCACCAAAGGACACUCAUUGUAGUGAUGUGUGCAUAUGGAGGCCGUACGACUGCAGGGGAAGAGCUGGGUGCCUGUGUUGGUACAUCUCACAGGACAGGCGGUGUCAAACUGGGGCCGAAAGAGGGAUAGUGAUCAUCCCUGUGGAGGAGAACGAUAAGAGGAAUGGCUGACUCCAACCUGGCCUCGGGCCCCUUGUACAACCAGAGUGCCUGCCUGCAGAAGCUGGUGUGCCUGUUUAACAUCCCACCAGGGGUCCCCACUGUUGACUGCAGCGCUUCGUCUGCACGGACUAAAAAUGUCUUGGGAGUAUGGGCAAACAAGCAGUGAAGACAAGAAUAUGGAAGCUGACAGAAAUAAACGCGGGUUGGGGGAAAGGCGAGAGGGAGAGAAGGAAAAGGAGAUGUGCGAGCAAUGGGGGUCCCAGCGUCUUGAAGAGAUUGUGCUGGCAUGGUGGCCAGAGGCCUUUCAGCUGAGCAGGCACCACUACCUCUCCCUUUUCCCUCUGUAAAGCUGCAUGCUGGUGCUCAGAUGUUAAGCAGUGUGUUGAACACACACACCCACACACAGUUUUAUGCACAUGAAUACCAAUACAUACAAUUUUGGCAUCAGGAAUUAGUCUUUUCCAUACUUAUCUUUGUCUAGCUAUGCAAGUAUAUGGAUAUCUGCACUAGCCAAGGCAAUGGGCUCUAUAUUACCUUGUUUAAAAACUAGGUUUUAUUCUAACAAAAAAAAAAAAAAAA